AACGAACGCUGGCGGCAGGCUUAACACAUGCAAGUCGAACGCAUCCUUCGGGGUGAGUGGCAGACGGGUGAGUAACGCGUGGGAACGUGCCCUUCAGUUCGGGAUAACCCAGGGAAACUUGGGCUAAUACCGGAUACGUGCGAGAGCAGAAAGAUUUAUCGCUGAAGGAUCGGCCCGCGUCUGAUUAGCUAGUUGGUGGGGUAAUGGCCCACCAAGGCGAUGAUCAGCAGCUGGUCUGAGAGGAUGAUCAGCCACAUUGGGACUGAGAAACGGACCAAACGCCUACGGGAGGCAGCAGGGGGGAAUAUUGGACAAUGGGCGCAAGCCUGAUCCAGGCGUGCCGCGUGAGGGAUGAAGGCCUUAGGGUUGUAAGGCUCUUUCGUCCGGGACGAUAAUGACGGUACCGGAAGAAGAAGCCCCGGCUAACUUCGUGCCAGCCGCCGCGGUAA
rnacentral:rRNA from 1 species